rnacentral:lncRNA from 1 species
UCUUUAUGCUAUCAUUGAAGAUAUCAGUUUAACCGCAAGAGUUCACAUAGAGGCUUGUCAACUCACUGUUUCUUCCCUUUCUUGAUAGGAUAGCCUAUAUAUUUCCACUGCAUAAAUUAAAUUGUAAAAUAUUCCUUAGAAAUAAAUGCAAUUAAGCUCAUUUAGUAUGUCACUCAUAUACAGAGCAACCCUACCUAAGGGAUACCCUACGAUACCCUACGACCCCUCUCUUUCAAUGAAGAGCUGCCGCCAUCAUGUGGUCACGUCGAACAAUUUUGUUUCAGAGAAACUUACCGCCGUAACACAUUAAACUGUGUGACCUCGGUCAUUUACGCAGCAAAUGUUACUAUAUUAGCUACUUCGAAUAUUAGUCAUUUUCAUGUUGCAAAGUAGCCCACCGUUGAGACGAAAAAACAUAUCACUCAACAGGAGGUUAACACUUUAUGUACUCAUUUUCCUCGACUGUGAAUGAUGUGUAAAACGUUCAAUCUUUCAGUUCUCUGAAUAAAUUGAAUUGUUCAGAUUAGAGAGCAGUUAGUACUUCACAGCCUGAGGUCACUGAUCCGAACGCCUGCUCAUGGUUUUACUAACUCCUUCACACCCUUGAAGACCCCUUUAGAGUUGCGUCACUUUCUAUAUUAGUGGAAUGUUCCGAUUUUGCUAGGAGGGAAAGUUAGGUCGCCGCCGCCCCCCCACGCAAUGGAAACCACAAAGGCUGUAUUGAGAGUUCAUUGGACGCUACAGAGGCGCGUUCCACCGCGGGCGGAGCGUCCAGAUAAAUGAGGGAGUUGAACCUCCAAGCAAGCAAUUCUUCAGUCCACUCUACUUUUGACCUUUGACUAAGCCAAGUGUGUAUACAAGGAUGUCGGACCAAACAUUCACAGACUUGGAUAUGGAAUUUGGAGAUUUGCUUCAAGAAUUCAACGAUGUUGUAGAAGAAUUGAGGGUGCCGUCGCAGAGCACACCAUGUGUGUAUGGCCACCUCCUGAGUGAGGCAAAGCGACGUGAUGGAGUGAGCGACAGCGGCAUAGAAGAUUCCGACUACAGCAGUGAACCGUCCCUUGGGAACAGCUUGAACACCAGCGAGGAGGAGCUGAGCACUGCAGGCAUGACGGCGUCACCUAAAGCCAAACUCGGGGACACAGAGGAUCUUCAGAGCUUCAUUGACAACUUGGACCGUGAACUUGCCGAGAUGUGAGCUGAGAGGAGGCCUCGUGACUGGCAGUGUAACGAGCCUGAAGUUCAAUAGAGACAAAGCGAACUGGAGUGCGACAACCCUGUGCGCUGCCGCGAAGCGACCCGAUAUCCGCCUAAAAGAGGUGAACCUCAGGGCCACAAAGAAAAUCAUGUUGGCGAAGGCUCUUUUGGAACGAUGGCCGGACUACAUCAUCUUCACCCUUUGACAAGGAAGUGUGACAUUCUUUUAAAUGUCUUUUAAUUAAGACUCCCACUUUAAUGGCGGGUCAUGAAAGGACCCCAUGCUGCUGGGUAAUUAGUUAGAGCAAUUGGAAUCAGACCAGCCUGCGGUGUCCUCAGAAAAAUGGCUUUUAUAUUAGAAUCUAAGGACCAUUCAAAAUAUUUUUUCACUAAUCCUAUUUCAGAUCUGCCCCUAUUUAUAUACUUUCCUUCUACGAGCUAAAACGGAUAUUGUAUUUUAAUUUGAUGUAUUAUUUUAUACAGAAUACAGAAUAUGAAGGCGUUGUACAGAAGUUGUAUGUCAUUUGUGUAAUUUUCUAGUUUCCUCUGUUGUGGAGUAUUUGAAUAUUUAACUGGUUUAUAAAUACUUAACUGGAUUAUGCUACGCUGAUAAAUGUACAGACCAAUAAAGCUUUUUACCUAUGCA